AGAAUAUACAAGUUCUUUUACUUAUGAAGGUAUUUUUGAAGAAGAUCAAAUGCAAGAUGAAACAAAUAAGUAAAAAUUCAAUUAGACAUUUGAGCAUGAUCAAAUGCCAUGAUCAAAUGCAAGAUGGAGCGUGACCAGCUUCAAUUUCCCUUCAGAUGGCUACUUGAAUAUGUUGAUGAAAUCUAGAUUUCCUUCCUUGAGGACAAGGAAGUUCUUGAGCGGGAGGCAUUGGCACGAUGCGUUUCAAGUUCUUGAGAAGAUAGUUAUGCUGUUGGGUGUUCCGUUUCACAGGUGGGAAUCCAAAGGAGAAGUAGUUAUAGGUUAUUAGGGAUUGUACAUGUGUAAUUGUAAUCGGAGCUAUAAGAACUUGUAUUGGAGAAUCUGUAAUUCAUUUUGGAAAAUAUAUGAUGAAUAAUA
rnacentral:misc_RNA from 1 species